rnacentral:rRNA from 1 species
UACGUAGGGCGCAAGCGUUGUCCGGAAUUAUUGGGCGUAAAGAGCUCGUAGGCGGCUUGUCACGUCGGGUGUGAAAGCCCGGGGCUUAACCCCGGGUCUGCAUUCGAUACGGGCUGGCUAGAGUGUGGUAGGGGAGAUCGGAAUUCCUGGUGUAGCGGUGAAAUGCGCAGAUAUCAGGAGGAACACCGGUGGCGAAGGCGGUUCUCUGGGCAUUACCUGACGCUGAGGAGCGAAAGCAUGGGGAGCAAACAGG